rnacentral:rRNA from 1 species
UCCUACGGGAGGCAGCAGUAGGGAAUCUUGCGCAAUGGGCGAAAGCCUGACGCAGCCAUGCCGCGUGAAUGAUGAAGGUCUUAGGAUUGUAAAAUUCUUUCACCGGGGAAGAUAAUGACGGUACCCGGAGAAGAAGCCCCGGCUAACUUCGUGCCAGCAGCCGCGGUAAUACGAAGGGGGCUAGCGUUGCUCGGAAUUACUGGGCGUAAAGGGCGCGUAGGCGGACAGUUUAGUCAGAGGUGAAAGCCCAGGGCUCAACCUUGGAAUUGCCUUUGAUACUGGCUGUCUUGAGUUCGGGAGAGGUGAGUGGAAUGCCGAGUGUAGAGGUGAAAUUCGUAGAUAUUCGGCGGAACCACCAGUGGCGAAGGCGACUCACUGGCCCGAUACUGACGCUGAGGCGCGAAAGCGUGGGGAGCAAACAGGAUUAGAUACCCUGGUAGUCCACGCUGUAAACGAUGAGUGCUAGUUGUCGGCAUGCAUGCAUGUCGGUGACGCAGCUAACGCAUUAAGCACUCCGCCUG